GCCUGAGCGGGGCGAAGCCAGAGGAAACUCUGGUGGAGGCUCGAAGCGAUACUGACGUGCAAAUCGUUCGUCUGACUUGGGUAUAGGGGCGAAAGACUAAUCGAACCAUCUAGUAGGUGGUUCCCUCCGAAGUUUCCCUCAGGAUAGCUGGAGCCCAUUACGAGUUCGAUCAGGUAAAGCCAAUGAUUAGAGGCAUUGGGG
rnacentral:ncRNA from 1 species